ACAGGAAGCAGCUUGCUGCUUCGCUGACGAGUGGCGCACGGGUGAGUAAUGUCUGGGAAACUGCCUGAUGGAGGGGGAUUUCUACUGGAAACGGUAGCUAAUACCGCAUAACGUCGCAAGACCAAAGAGGGGGACCUUCGGGCCUCUUGCCAUCGGAUGUGCCCAGAUGGGAUUAGCUAGUAGGUGGGGUAACGGCUCACCUAGGCGACGAUCCCUAGCUGGUCUGAGAGGAUGACCAGCCACACUGGAACUGAGACACGGUCCAGACUCCUACGGGAGGCAGCAGUGGGGAAUAUUGCACAAUGGGCGCAAGCCUGGUGCAGCCAUGCCGCGUGUAUGAAGAAGGCCUUCGGGUUGUAAAGUACUUUCAGCGGGGAGGAAGGCGAUAAGGUUAAUAACCUUGUCGAUUGACGUUACCCGCAGAAGAAGCACCGGCUAACUCCGUGCCAGCAGCCGC
rnacentral:rRNA from 1 species